CUGCCCCGCAAUUACCUCCUCGCGUCGCGACGUCCUCCGCCCCUGAUUCCUCUCUCCUCGCCGCAGCCCCCGUCCCCGUCCCCUUCCCCCUGUCGAAGCUCUGCCGCCCCCGCUGCGACGAUCAAAGCUCCGCCAUCCCCGUCCUGUACUCCCUUGGAAAAGAUCGUUUUUUUCGACGGGAGGAGUAAUUCCGGCCUAGAUCCGGUGGUGGCGAUGCCGGAUCCUGCGACGGCGCCGACGCGAGCCACCAAGGGCAACGCAUGCCGUGGACCCCCUCUCCGGCUGCGCUUCCGCGAAACCCUAGCGGCUCCGCGUCCCGGCGACCAUCUCCGAGGCGGACAGCCAUCCCCGUCCCGUACUCCCUUGAAAAGAUCGAUUUUUUUCGACGUGAGGAGUAAUUCCGGCUUAAUCCGGUGGUGGCGGUGCCGGAUCCUGUGACGGCGCCGACGCGAGCCGCCAAGGGCAUCGCAUACCGUGGACUCCCUCUCCGGCUGCGCUUCCGCGAAACCCUAGCGGCUCGGCGUCCCGGCGACCAUCUGUAGCAGCCCGAGAAGGCCCGGACAAAUUCUUGGAGCAGUACGCCCGCCGCUCCAGCAACUUUCCUCACCGCCGUCCGUCGUCAUCAAGGUUCUCUCGGUGGUCGGAAUUUUGCAAGAUGAAGUUGAUCCUAUUCUUUCUACCAUGAAAAUUGAAAUGGCACCUUUGGAGUCUUGUGCUGACGUUGGUGGUUUAGAUGCUCAAAUUCAAGAGAUCAAACUAUACGAGGACAUUGGAUUCAGGCCUCCCAAGGGAGUCAUACUGUUUGGGGAACAGAGAAAGCUCUACUUGCAAAGGUAGACAGGCAGAUGGUCUCUCUUGCAUUCCGCUUCUCGAGGGUAAAAACUCCAAAGGAAAGAGCUCAUGUAGACUUGGAAACCCACUAUACUAAGGAAUACCUUGAUGAGAAAUUUGAGUCCUGCACAAGGAGAGCAAUCCCCUACAGAGUGGAAUAUGUGAAGAACAUAUCGUCUUCAGGGAUGCAGUCUAGUUGUGGCUUUGUAAGAAAUGGAUUUACACUUUAUCUGUUAGACAUAUGAGUGCCAUGUCCUGUGUUUCUCAGAUAUUUGUAGAACAAUCAGUUAACUCGUGAUAUCAAUGUCUUAGCCAAUCUCCCCCUUUCCGAUCUGUAAGUAAUCAACAUGUCAUUCAUUUAUGCUUUAUUAUUUAUAUACAUAUGCAUUAUCAUCUCAUAUCUCGCUUACCUGUUGGAAUAUUGCAAAUAACAGUUUCACCGGUUGGAUUCCUAGCGAGUCUCUUAAUUUUUUAACAUGCAAUUGUUAUAGAGCUAUAUCCUAAACUAUUAUUGUUCUUAUAUGUAGGACUGAUGGUAAUCCUUGGACUACGGAACAUGCUGUGCACUGGACAACCUGCUCCUCCUGCGCGUACCCCCUCUGGGAUAAGUCCACUUGCGAAGAUGCAUACUAGGCAGCUGAUGAUGAAGUGGCGCUGAGAAAUGGAGUUGCAUAAAAAAUAUUGCUGGGAUACUAUGCAGUACUCCUAGUAAUAAGUGAGGUCCAUUCUUUUCUCAAGGCCCAAAUUGCAAUGCAGGCAUCAUAAGCUUUCCAAGCUUUGAGACAAAGUUCAGGAAUGGAGCCUUGCCAAAUGCCAAGACAGAAUUAAAAUAAUGUCUCUGCAAAUACCCCCUCCAUCCGAAAAUACUUGUCAAGAGACUCCUGCAAGUAUUUCCGGACGGGAGGGAGUAUCUGGUUAUGUAUUUGGCAAAUUCUUUCUCAUGACCCAGAUUGCGAUGAAGGCAUCAUAAGUUGAUAAUUCAAAGCUUUGGUGACAGAGUUAGUGAGUUGAGGCAUAAAUGGAGCCUUGCCAGGUGCCAAGACACAGCUGAAAUAAUUUUCCUGUAUCUCCUGUCUUAAAUUAUGAGCACAUGCUACAAUAUUUUUACCAAAAUAAUUUUCCUGUA